CAAAAAAUAGUUUAAACAAAACACUAGCAUUGGAAGCUAGAAACUAAGAAUAGGCUCUUAUUUUUUGA
rnacentral:tRNA from 1 species